rnacentral:rRNA from 1 species
GACGAACGCUGGCGGCGUGCUUAACACAUGCAAGUCGAACGGAAAGGCCCUGCUUUUGUGGGGUGCUCGAGUGGCGAAAGGGUGAGUAACACGUGAGUAACCUGCCCUUGACUUUGGGAUAACUUCAGGAAACUGAGGCUAAUACCGGAUAGGAGCUCCUGCUGCAUGGUGGGGGUUGGAAAGUUUCGGCGGUUGGGUAUGGACUCGCGGCUUAUCAGCUUGUUGGUGGGGUAGUGGCUUACCAAGGCUUUGACGGGUAGCCGGCCUGAGAGGGUGACCGGCCACAUUGGGACUGAGAUACGGCCCAGACUCCUACGGGAGGCAGCAGUGGGGAAUAUUGCACAAUGGGCGGAAGCCUGAUGCAGCAACGCCGCGUGCGGGAUGACGGCCUUCGGGUUGUAAACCGCUUUCGCCUGUGACGAAGCGUGAGUGACGGUAAUGGGUAAAGAAGCACCGGCUAACUACGUG